rnacentral:rRNA from 1 species
AAGUCUGGUGCCAGCAGCCGCGGUAAUUCCAGCUCCAAUAGCGUAUAUUAAAAUUGUUGCGUCUAAAAAGCUCGUAGUUUGAAAACUUGCCUUGGCUUGCAAUCGGUUCAUUAUGGGCCCCCGCUUGUUGAGUGCAAAUAUAGAUGACUGUUUUUGCCGGCUUAAUUGUUUGGCUUAUAAGAGUUAUCAAAUAUCACUUUGAUUAAAUUAGAGUGCUUAAAGCAAGUGUGUUACUUGGAUAUAAAUGCAUGGAAUGAUGGAAUAUGUUGUUGUUCUAUUUGUUGGUUUUUGAACGAUGAAAUGAUUGAAAGGAACUGUUGGGGGCAUUCGUAUUGUUGUGAGAGAGGUGAAAUUCUUAGACCACAGCAAGACGAACUACUGCGAAAGCAUUUGCCAAGAAUGUUUUCAUUGAUCAAGAACGAAAGUUAGAGGUUCGAAGGCGAUCAGAUACCGCCCUAGUUCUAACCAU